UAGGACGCUUCUUGGCUUGCUUCCAUUCGCUACGUAGCGACCUGUCAGACUGUCAGUCGCUACGUAGCGACCUGUAAGUCCUCAAAGGGUUCUUCCUUUGCGUUCUCCUUUGAAUCCUCUUCAAAAUGCUUUUCGUUUCGUUUCAAUCGGAGUUUCCGUUGAGAUUUUACGACGAAAACAAGUGGGACUCGUCUCGGCUCCCUUCCACUCGCUAUAGCGACCGAGAUGACAUCCUCACUCGCUAUAACAACCUGUCAGGCCUCAAAGGGGUCCUCCUUUGCGUUCUCCUUUGAAUUCUCAUCGAAACGCUUUUGGUUUCGUCUCAAUCGGAGUUUCCGUUGAGAUUUUACGACAAAAACAAGUAAACCUCAUCCUAAACUCCUUGGCUUGUUUCUGCUCACCCUACCUCCAUCUUUGCGUUCACUUUCGAAUCUCGAUCGAAACGUCUCUUGUUUCGCCUCGAUUGAAGUUACCAUUGAGACUUUACGAUAUAAAAUAAAAAAAAAAAAAAAAAAAAACCGCAAAGACCUAUUUUUUCGCAUGGAUUCAGAUUAAUCGUAUAAAACGGCAAUGGUUAACUUAACACCUUAGCCGCCUUAACUAUACGAUUACGUUGGACCUUUUUACAAAAAUCGACGUCUUAUCUAAGGAGAAGAUAACAGUCAAGUUCGGAAGAUAAAUGUCAAGUUUCAAAGGGUAAACACCAAUAUCGGAAAUGGCGAACAUACACGAGAAUAGGAAACGGAAAUGAGCACGCAAAACUGAGAAGGGACAAAACUGCAUCUUCGAGAGAACUAAGGUAUUUCCGACUUGAAAUUUUUGAAAUCAGACUUGGAAUUUUCGUAGGAAAUUACUUUGAGGCUGCCAUAGAACUUUAGGGAACGUAAAACCUAGGCGGAUAGUCUAGCGAACUAAGUUUUAAGCGAUUUUUCCUGUCUCGAUAUAUUGUCCCAUAAUUGUUCAUCCAAAUCUUGCAAACCGAUCUAAACUCUCCGAAAGUCGAGAAAUGAUCGCCACGCAUAUCAAGCUCGCUUCCUAAAGAGAGAAAAAGAUAGAGACAUGAACGUCGUCUUAAAACCGAUUCGUUUCUGGCAAUUUUCUCGGAACCGACAUAUCUCAAGUCGUCAACGUGGAAACAACCAAAUCACAGUCCAAGCGUCGUCUAUAAAUCGUCCCGAAUUAUCGAUCAUUCCAAACAUCAGGAGAGGAAACAUACACAACCCUUCAAAGUAUCGGUUCAACCGUUUUUCUUUCGUAAAAAAAAAAAGGGGGAGUAGGUACGUAUACUAUACUCGUAUACUCCCAAACUUCAAAAAACUUCUGCAAAUCGUCAAGAAUUGGCAAACGACAAUCUUAAUAUUCGUCUAAACGCUAGCAACAUAUCCAGACGAUCAUGAACAUAAUCUCAAAAACUAUACAUCAUUUCUUGUCGCAAUCAUGCGUACAGAAAACUUGUACCAAUAUCAAACUGAAACUCGACGAUUAGCCAAAGUAUUGAAGCCUUUUCCGGCUUCAGAAAGCCAGUUUCGUUUCAAACUUAGCGGCGAGAAAUCUUCAAUCACCAAAGCAUUUCUUUCAGUUUCCGUUGUACCAAGUAAGUCACGGAAAAGUAUCGAAAACAUUUGCGACGAAGAAAACUCUAGAAUAUAUGUAGCAUCGUGCACAUUAAAAGAAGCACUUUCCUCCCGAUGGUUAGCUAGAUCCACUUCUGGUUGACCAAUUCUUUCAAGAAACAAAUGUGUCAUGAGAAUCCUCUCGAAAAACCUAUGAAAAACGUUCCGCGACUAGAUCGUAUUGAAAUAAACUUCGGUAAUACUCCAUGGGUAACGCCAAGCAACCUUCACCCAAGAU
rnacentral:lncRNA from 1 species